rnacentral:rRNA from 1 species
AACGUAGGAGGCGAACGUUAUCCGGAUUUACUGGGUGUAAAGCGCGUGCAGGCGGUGAUGUAAGUCGUGCGUGAAAGCGCCCAGGCUCAACCGGGCGAGGACGUGCGAAACUGCAUGACUAGAGGUAGGUAGAGGCGUGUGGAAUUCCGGGUGUAGUGGUGAAAUGCGUAGAUAUCCGGAGGAACACCAGUGGCGAAGGCGACACGCUGGGCCUGACCUGACGCUAAGACGCGAAAGCAUGGGGA